rnacentral:misc_RNA from 1 species
UCCGACUUAACGCCGGCAGUCUCACGUGAUAAGCAACACGCAAUAGGGGUUGCGCUCGUUACCCCACUUAAGGGAACAGUUCACACCACGAGCUGACGACAACCGUGCAGCACCUGUUCAGCACCCUCGUAGGCUCCCGCCGUUUCUGGCGGGAUGCAGCUGAAUUUCAAGCCCUGGUAAGGUUCCUCGCUUAUCGUCGAAUUAAACCACACGCUCCACCGCUUGUGCGGGCCCCCGUCUAUUCCUUUGAGUUUUAGCCUUGCGGCCGUACUACCCAGGCGGUCAACUUAACGCGUUAGCUACGACACUGAGAGGGUCGGUACUCCCAAUGCCUAGUUGACAUCGUUUACGGCGUGGACUAC